GAGGGUAUAGCUCAGUGGUAGAGCACAUGCUUAGCAUGCACAAGGGUCCUGGGUUCAAUCCCCAGUACUUCCA
rnacentral:tRNA from 1 species